rnacentral:rRNA from 1 species
CGGAUCGCAGGCUGCAACCCGCCUGCGUGAAGUUGGAAUCGCUAGUAAUCGCGGAUCAGCAUGCCGCGGUGAAUACGUUCCCGGGCCUUGUACACACCGCCCGUCACACCAUGAGAGUCGGGAACACCCGAAGUCCGUAGUCUAACCGCAAGGGGACGCGGCCGAAGGUGGGUUCGAUAAUUGGGGUGAAGUCGUAACAAGGUAGC